UAUAUGCUUCUCAUCGAAUAUAAACAGGGUGACUAAGAUGAUGACAAGCACUAUAUCUCCCUCAGAAUCAGCACAAGAUGUUGGAGCAGGAUUCCGUCCCAAGGAGAAGGAAUUGGUGAAUUAUUUUCUCAAGCUGAAAUUGCUUGGUCAUGAUCACCAAGUCCGUAGAAUCCCUGAACUUGACGUCUACAAGCGUGAGCCCUGGGAUUUACCCCAGUACUCGGGAGCGAACUCGAGUGAUGAAGAAUGGUAUUUCUUUCAUCAUUGCCGUAGCGGACGGCCUAGCAGGACAACAAAAGUUGGAUAUUGGAAAAACACUGGUAGAAAACGCAAAAUUAGGGACGAACAGGAAGAGAUUGGUACAAAAAGAAUUUAUGUUUUCCAUAUAGGCCGUGCUCCUAGAGGGGAAAGAACAGGGUGGAUCAUCCAUGAAUACACUGCAGCUUUUAAUUUACUUAACCAGAGGGCUUUCGUUCUUUGUAAACUAUUUAAAAAACGUAUGCCGGUCACUGGUGAAGUUGAACUUAGUCGCAAAAUGGCUGCUUGUAAUCUUGAAAAUCAGAAUUCUUAUCAGAAGACUAAUAAUUCAGCCUUCGAUGAAGGCGAAACAAGUCACCUUAUGACUUUUGAAAAUCAAGCAACAGAUUUUGCAAUUCAAGAAGAGGCACAUUCUCAACCGAUACCUCAUCUGGGAUCGUUUUACGACUGUAAUGAACAGAAUCACAGACUUAACUCUGCUCUGAAUUCACCUAUGCAAGACUUCACUUGUGAUGAUCUUUGGGACUUCUCAUUUGAUGCCUGAAGGUUUCUUCUACGGGCUUGAACGUCGGUGUCAUUAACUUCCCAUUUCCUGGUUUAUUCUGGAGUAUAGUAUGACAACUACUGAGCUUAACUGCAGCAUUUGAGGGCAUUCAGUGACUUUAAUUCUGCAGGAGACGCACAAUUCGGUUCCUUCCACCGCAUACUGAUAGGCCCAUGGAUCAUCAAUCCAUGAUAGGUGUAUGAGUAGAGAGUCAUGUUAUAAUUAGUCUAUAAAGAGUUCGUGUCUAUGAUGUUUAUGGCAACUGAAG
rnacentral:misc_RNA from 1 species